GCCAACAUGGCCUAGUGGUUUAAGUGUUGGACUAUGACUCUGGAGACCAGGGUUCGAAUACCCACUUGGCC
rnacentral:tRNA from 1 species